UCUUUGGUCUCUCUGAUGGGAGCCUCUGCCGGCAGUGCAGUUUACCUGGACGGUCCUGCCUGGACCCUCCGGGGCAGGAGAAAUUUGGGGCCAGGCCCAUGAAUCAAGAACUUAUUCCUUUUUGAAUUCCAGUUUCCAUCCUUAGGAUUUGGACAGAUUUAGAGGAGAUACUAGACUUUUCAAUGCAGAUUUCAGGCCAUACACAUAGGUGUUGCCCCACUUUGGGAAGCCAGACCCUCAGCUGGCCAGUAUAUCUUUAUCAGGGACAUUUUGGCCCAAACAAGUCACUCAUCCCUGAGAUGGGGGCAAUGCAAGAAGGGUUCUCAGAGAUUGAUCAGGGUCCAGGAUUAGGGUUUUUGUAUGCCGGGUGAAGGCAUCUGAGCCAACGUGAUUACUUUGCUAACUGGGGCCAAGGGACCUUCGUGACCGUCUCCUCAGUUUGGAAGGUGGCCCCAUCCGUCUUCCCCUUGACUCCCAGCUGCGAGGAAGUAGAACUAUCCGAGGUGACCCUGGGCUGCCUGGUGACCGGAUAUUCCCCAGAUCCCGUGAAGGUCGACUGGAGCCCAUCAUUCUACAACAGCAAAGCCCAGACCUACCCCUCCAUCCUCCACCCCACGGGGCUCUACUCGCUCAGCAGCAAAAUCACCGUCCCCGCUUACAACUGGCACAACAAGGUGUACACGUGCAAGGUGACCCAUACGCCCACAAACACCAUCAUCAGUGGGAAUGUCGUUGCACCAGCGCCACCCACCCCCCAAACGACUACUCCUGUUGUCACCCCGGCCAUGAAAUCUCCUCCAGCGGUGAGGGUGGUCCACUCCUCCUGCCUCCCGAACGGGGACGCCGAAGCCACCAUCCAGCUACUUUGCCUCAUCUCGGACUUCAGCCCAGCCAAAAUCGAGGUGAAGUGGCUGGAGGAUGAUGAAGAGCAGGACGGAUUCUACGUUUCGGAGUCCAAGAGGGAAAACAAUGGGAAAUUCUCUGCCUACAGCGAGUUCAACAUCACCCAGGGAGAGUGGCUGACUGGCAAGACCUUCACCUGCAGUGUAAGGCACAUGGCCUCCAAGAAGGAUAUCCAAGACUACGCCAGGUCCUGUAAAGACAUCAACCUUAUCCAGAACCUCAAGGUCUCUGUGAGCCCCCCAAACCCUACUGACCUCUUCAUUGCCCGGACACCGUCCCUCACCUGCCUGGUGGCCAGUCUGCCUGAUUCAGAAGGCAUCAAACUCCAGUGGAUCCACAAAGGCAUUGAGAGACCCGCUUCUCCCAUCAAGAUAAUGAAACAGCCAGAUGGUACCUUCAGUGCCGAGAGUACCCUGUCCAUCACCCUGCCGGAAUGGAUGGAAGGAGAAUCAUUCACGUGCAAAGUGCAGCACCCUGACUUCCCCUCCAUUGUUGAAAAGGCCAUUUCCAAGCCUCUAGGAAAGAGCUUAGCCCCGGCGGUUUACGUGUUCCCUCCACACAUGGAUGAGCUGGCCCAAAAAGACACCUUGAGCCUCACUUGUCUGGCAAAGAGCUUCUUCCCUGCGGAUAUCGCCGUCCAGUGGCUGCAUAACGACGAGGACGUGGAGGAAGACCACUUUUCUGUGACUAAGCCACAGAAAGACUUGACAGGACAAGGCACGUUCUUCCUUUACAGCAAGCUAGACAUCCAGAAGUCCAACUGGAAACGCGGAGAUUCCUUCACCUGCAUGGUGGGCCAUGAGGCUCUCAAGCGCUACUCCAUACAGAAGACAGUGCGGCAAAACCCCGGUAAAUGAAGGCUUCGGUCGAAAGCUGAACCCCUCUGCCUGUACCCUCACUGCCUGACGUAACUCGCCCUCUUUCCUGCCAAAUCCCCACUCCACCCUGAUCCUUCUGCUGUGCCGUUCCCCUCCCUCUGUCUCCCCGGUGUCCCAGAAGAGGGGGUGUUCCCUGUGUAAAUACCAUCCGUGACCCCAUAGUGUGAUAAUAAAACACCCCACUGCCAAGCCUGGAA